UCUCUCUCUCUCUCUCUCUGCUCUGGUUGACUUCCAACACAAUGGCCCUCUGCUGCACACACAGGCUUGGGGGAGUGCUGGAGGUGUAUGCUUGUACACACACGCUUCUGUGCAGUCAGAAUUCAGAACUGUCCCCCAAAGCACACCUUAUGCUGCCCUGCACCACUCACCUCCACUGCCCUCCUCAGCCCAGUGAAGGACACAAGAACCUGAUCCUCCCAGGACCCGACCGGGAUCUGAGGAAGAACACUGGGUGUCUCCACAGACUCCCAGGGAGGCCUGCACCCAUCUUAUCAGGACUUGAGGGCCUGGGGCACCUGUACUCUAACCCCGCCAUAUGCCGGUGCUGCUGGAGACAGCGCCGAGCUUAAUCCGGAGAAGACUUGCUCCAAAGCCCUUCCAUUCCACACAGUCACCGGGGCCACAUUUCUGCAGGGGGCACAGACAUCAUCUGAGAUGUCAUUUCAAGGCUGGAGCCCAACGUGUCUGUAGAGAAGCCCACUCAUACAGGUCUCAGAGCAAGAAGAGCUGAAGGAGGUCGAGUGGUGGAACUUGGAAGAACUUCAGUCAUUCAUUAAAUUGUCACUUUUCCCAAGGGAGCAUUCUAGAAACCGUGAUGAUUAACACUGUGCAGGGCUCUGCAGCCUAUCAAGUGGAUGCUGGGCUCUGCUUCCUUGGUUUACCCCCUGGGGGUAUGGGACGGGCAUAGUGUGGUCAAGGUCUGGAGUCUGGGUAGCACAUGGCUUGACCUGGACUCAACCCAGCAUGACCUCAGAGUUGUGUCCUAGUGCAGGAUUGUGUGUGGUGUUCUCAGCACCCAGCCCUCUCCUGUCCUCUUGUCUGAAAUGGUCUGUUCUUUGUGAUUUCAGCCCACCUUGGUCGGCCCUGACUUGAAGGACCCAGGGCGUGUGUCACUAACUGCCCACUUCCAGCAGAGCACAAAGUUGGGGACAGGAACAGCAACACAGCCUCUGCUGAUCUCUAAAGCUACUUUAAAGAACCCUGAAAACCUCCCUCCCAUGUCUGCCUGGGCCGCUUGAGGGUCCCCUGCCUCCUUCCAAUAGUCAGAGCCUGAGGGAGUUGAAGAAGACACCAGACCUAGCUCCUGCAGCUGGACAUGGACCUUAGGAAAGACCUUGGGUGUGUCAGGAAGACACUGGAGGAAUGACAACCGAUGCCACAGAGAGCCUGGAGGAGGGGAUCAUCUUGGUGCUGAUUCUUGGCUCUGGGCCUGGCUGGCAGUUCAGGCCUCUGGAUGCCUGGUCCUUUCAGAUCUCUAUGGGGAGCUAACCAGACAUAAAGGGCACUGGGACAUCCAGAAAGGACUAGUUGUUUUUUUUAUUUGAGAACAAAAGUACCGUCUCUCUAAGGAGACAGAUGCCGGUCUGCCACUCCAGAUACUCUGUCCCUUGCAGCUAUUGCUAAAGAUCUUUUCCAAACGGCUGUAGUCUGGAAGGCUUGUCCUAACCCCACUACAACACUGGACUUGAACCAUCUUGAGCCUCGAGUCUCUUCAUCAGCAGACUAAAAAGACACUUUGGUUGUGGGAGUAUCUCUUAGUUCUUGUCCUCAAAGAAGGAAAGAAUCCAGAGAUGGAUGUGAAUUAAGCAGCAGUUUACGUAAUAAAGCUAAACAUAACAAACAGAGAGACUGGUGUAUGCUUUCCCAAGGCAGGGAGCAGCCCAGUGAGUUGCUAAGUCGUUAUUAAGUAACACCUUAUUAAGCGGUGGACUGCAAAGAAGUUUCUGGGGACAUCUCUGAAUGGACUGCAAAGAAGUUUCUGGGGACAUCUCUGAGGUGCGUAGUGUCUUCGAGGGGAGGUGUUGAUAAUAGGUAGAUGCCUCCUUGCCUCGUCCUUUGGUUUUCCCUUCUCCAGACUCCACCCACACUCUUGUCCGGUUCUUGUGUGACUCUUCUCUGGGGAGACGAGAACAAAUGUCUCCUCCCUCCAGAGAGAGGAUCUGACAAGUCCAACUCAGUGAGCUGUUGAAUUUAUCAGGGUGCCAUCCCGAGAGGGGACGAGGGGUGAUUUGCUGGGUCAUAAGUAACUCAAAGACACAAUGUGUGGGCUGCAACCCUGGAGCUCCCUGACAACUGUGGCCUGCAGUUCUCACUCUUACAUAACUAUGGGAAGGUAGGGGUGUUGUGGGUCUUGUAAGUUUCAGGGUCUUCCUGAGAUUUAUGACUUGUUUUCUUCAAGUUCUUAAGGAGCCUCCCUCCAGGAUGGAAAUCUUUCAACUUGCUGCAUGUCACCAUAUAGCCCUCUCUUCAUCCCCAUCUUUAGUGUUCUCUCUUUAACAUAUGUGUGUAUGCACACACGUGCACACACAUGUGAAUGCACCCACACCCCUACAGUAUAAGAGCCACAUACAUGUGUGAAGGUCAGAGGAAAACUUGAAGACUUGCUUCUCUUCUUACUCCAUGUGAGCUCUGGAGACUGAACUCCGAUUAGCAGGUGUGGCAGCAAGCACCUUUACCUACUGGGCUAGCUCACUGACUCCUAAUGUCCCCCUUAAUCACAUGGGCACAGUGCCAUAGAACACAGGGCAGUCUUCUGUCAUGCGGGGUCUGCAGCAAGGCGCUGCUUGGUCAUACCAUGAUAAGGC